UUACAAAGGAAGAUAGUAUUAGGUUUCAUUAUGUACCCUCUGUUGCUAUUGCAAUCUCAGAUUAGGCAUGCAGCACUGUUCCAGCUUUUGUCCCUAUGGGGUCUCUGUGUGAGAGGAUUUUUAGGCCAAUCAAUGUUAUUUUAAUGCUCCUGAAGAGAAUACGUGUAUUGUGAUGCUUGAAAUGAGAAUAUUUCAAAACAACCUGAUUCUAUUCAUUUAUCCUCUCAAACACAAGUGCUAAGACAGCAAAGGAGGUCCAUCUUAAACCCUCCAAACUUCAGUUGAUCUGAAACAUGGAUCAGCUCUAGCCUUAGGAACUGUGGCUCAGUUGGGCUUUGAUCCUGCAUGUACCUUCAAUGCUACUUGCAGCUGGGGAAGUGGAAAAUAUUCAACAUCUUGCAGGAGAAAGCCUACAGAAUGCCAGGUCACCCGCUAUUCUUAAUACUUCCACAAGGACAAAUGGGGCUCAUGUUAAAGGAUCCACUUGUACAAGUGUCAGCAGCAGCAGGGCAUGUCGAGGCAGAGACUGCAGUGAAGACAUACCAUGCCAGUAGAAGGGAGGACUGACCAAGCUAAUCAGCUACUUUGGUCCCAGACAGGAUGCCACAAUGUAACUUUAGCGUGUGUGUGGCUUCCUAAAAUGAGGUGGAAGCUGAAAAAUUCCACAAAUCAAACCUGAAACAGUAUAAAAUCCCUGAGUUACUGCCUAGAGAAGUGUGACUUGCUUGGCGUAAGCCUUAGCUAGGGAAAGGAUGAGUCAGGAAAGACCAGUAUAUGGAGGCUGGAGGACAGCGUCAUUAAACAAACACAAUGAGUUUUAAUUGUUUAAAGGGGCUUCAUAUUUCAUAUUGGUGCAGAUUUAGUGACCAAGCUAUAAUUCUCUGAAACAAGGCUAUGGAGCUAAAUCCAGUAGGGACUAUCAGUUCUCUCAACAUACGUAGUAACACGUAUGUUCUGAGUUUGACCACAGUGGGUUCAGGCCCUUGCUGGUCAGGUCUCUCUCUACACGUAAUCUAGAGACAAACAAGCGGGUUGGCUGGUCAACACUUGAUUUGGGACAAGUGAAAGUUUCUAUUUAAAGGCCUGUGGCUACAUUCAAAAUCAAGAUGAGCCAACCAAGUUCCUGCACACGGCAAACUACCCCAAACAGCUCAGUUCCUGCCCAGGCUGCAUCUGGCUCUGACUAGUAUUUGAACAUCUCUUUACUGCCCCUGUAAGCUGUUACAAGGAGCACACAUUGGAGUUGUGGCAAGUUGCAGAGUAAAUGAAGCAGCUAAUGUUGUAGGUUACAUAGCAGCCAACACCAUUACCAACCCUAUUCCAAACUGAAAGCAUGUUACAGAUGACAGAGCUUUGGGAGGGUCCUUGCUAUUUCUCUUGCCCUGUAAUGGAAUUGCACCCACAGAUAAUGGGCUGGUUACAGUCUGUGCUGUGCUCCUCACUCAGCUUGCUGCAAGCUGCAGUUCAGAGCGUGGCAUGCAGCUUCUGAAUCCACCCCUCUGUUCUGCUGCAAUGGCUGCUGGAACAAAGGACCUGCACUUGUUCAGCGAUAGCCUCAGCUCCUGAACAGCUUAUCCACUUAGAAGGUCAGAGGGAGGGAGUGCAGCAGCCAGGGAGCUCCAACUCCUGCAGCACAGCUCUGACCCCGGCAGCAGUGGGGCCAGCAGGAGCUGGAGAGCUCCCGCCUAGGGAGCGGCAGCUGGCCAGGCAGCAGCGGGGCAAGGGCAGCAGUUUAGCACAGGCCAUUAAGGGAGGAACCUCCCCCAGUCCGGUAAAUCCCCUUGUCCGGGACCAGUCAGGUCCCAAAGGUGCCGGAUCAGAGAGGUCCAACCCAUAGUAAACUGAGGAAGACAGAGGUUAAGAUCACACAAAAUCAAUGGAGAACUGGGAACAAAAUCCAAGACUCCUGAUUCCCAGUCUGGUGCUCUCAACUGUACCAUGGGCCUGCCUCCUCCUCAAUGGGUGGAGCUAUUUUCUCGCUCUUGGAUAGCAACAGAGCUAGCCUCCUCCGUUGAUUAGGUAGGUCAGACACUUCCCAGAUCUUCAGCCAUCUUAAAGAAUGUGGCAGUAACACAGGCAAAAAUUAAAUCAAACCUUGCGGUCUUAACACAGAAUAUACACUAGACUAUGUUUAAAGUCACAAAAAGCAAACAAACAGUUUAUAUUUUAAACAUUCAAAAGCAAGAUUUUUCUGCUAUGAUUUUGACAAAGGCCAGAACUACUUUACUGGCAAGACUCAGUUUGAGGAAUUUCUUAUAAACCAAAUCAUAUUUAACACACACAGUCCCUAACUCAUGACCAAGUACAGACCCAUCUGCAUUGUCUGAGACUAACUCUUUCUUACUGUUUCACAAGCAACCAGGAUAACAGAAGGGGAUUUUAAAUAAUUUGCUCAUUAGCCACUGAAAAGUAUGAAAAAGUAUACAGGAUAUAAACCAAAGUCGAAACAUCUUAGUUAUUUCUACAGGACCUUGCCCAGUGUGUGUGGAUUGAUUGUUCUUAAUAACCAUCACUCUUAUUUACAGGAGUAAUGGAAGAAAUAAAACCUACACUGCAGCUCAGUGCCAAAGUUCAUUUUCUCUCACCUAUCUUCCAUUUUUACAAGUCCCUCUCCCCUUUUAAGUUAACUCUUUUCCCUCACAUUCCCCUCCUCCCCCAAAGUUUGUAUCUGCGCAGCUUCCCCUGGAGGAGAGUAAUGAGGACAGGAAUCUACGCAGAGUGAAAACUGUUGAAGUGCUCUUAAGGUCUAGCAGGGCUACGUACAAACAGCUAGGCUUGUGUAAAGUGCACCCCAGUGCUGUUUCUGCUGCUGUCUAUAUAUCCUCUCUGCAUACCACCAGCACUGUCAUCUUCUAUGGAAGGAAUCUGAAGUGACAAGGAACAGGAAGCCUGCAAUUUUGUGACAUUCAGUGCACACAUACGUCCUUAAACAUUCAGAGGCUUUCAGGCAACUACCUGGUGGUGGAAGUCCCAGCAUUAAAACUGAUUACAAACUGCAAGCCAGAAAUUAUACCUACAUCUGGAAAGUCUUACACAUUACCUCCUUCUCCACUUCAUUCCAUUGAAACUUAACCGAUAGAGGAACAGAAACAUUUAGUAUUAGAAGCAAAGUCAAUUCCCUGAUGGCACAAAUCAGCUUUCCAUAUAGAACUGUGUUCCUAUGAUCUUGGUUGACACUCGUU